AUUCAGUUUGUGGAUUACAUAUAUCAUGCAUUUGAUCCGGUUAGUGUUUCCUUCUCUUCAGUUUGUCAGUUGGAGAGAUCUGCAUCUAAGUCAUGUAUCAAAUUCAUGUUUACCAUGUUCUCAUGUAUUGAGUUUUGAGUUUAGGAUGAUGAAUGACACCAACCAAAUCAGAAGUAGAGAUGAGCUGGCAUGUCAUCUGUUCUGAAGCAAUUUAGCAUCACUUUUGGAUCGUCGAAUAAUAACUGCUUUGUUUUUGCGUACUAUCUCAAACCUGACUUAGAUUCUAUGAGAUUUUUUUUUGAAGUUAUUCUAUAUCUAUCAUAUUUGUUUCUAACUGUUUAAUAAGGUCUUGAAAGUCCAUACCACAAAAUUUAUAAUGGACCCCUGAUUUCAAGUUAGGGGCUCUCCAACAAGAAAAUCCGGCAUUGAGUAUACUCUCAAGAAGCUACUGCAGCUUAACACAAAUGAAGAGGUCUUCGAUGCUCUCAAAACCCAGACUGUUGACUUGAAUAUUAUCAGGAUUCGUGAUGGUUUGACACAGUUAUUUGCAAAGGACACUGCUCUUAUUGAUAAACAAGAACUCGAUGAAGAUCUGAAACAUAAAGAUUCAAGUUGCUUUCCACACGGAUGAAAUCCAAAGAACUCCACCUGCACAACAAGAUGAAAUGAGAGCGGCUUUGAGCUACUACCAUGAGACAACCUGGAAAUGAGUUCUGAAGUUCUUGAAGCGUGUUGCCACAGCUCUGAAGAACAUUGGAAUUAAUGAGUGUUCCUUACGAUGCACCUCUCAUUCAAAUCUAUUCCUUGGAUGGGUGGAGACCGUGAUGGUACACUCUUAAUUCUUUCUUUUCUUGAACAUUUGCUAAAUCCAGAAACUGGUGUGAUGUAUGCUUACUAGGUUCGAGGUGGGGAAUCCAUACACUCAUUAACCA